UCAUUAAAAUUGACUUUAAAUUUCACUUCAACACGAGAUCAAAACAUUUACUUUCAUUACUGAUGUUGUCCAGUUUUUAAAAAGUUCAUGCUACUUUUAUAAAAUGAUGAAAGUGAAUAAAUUGUAUUUCCGUGAUCUGUGUUUGAUUUCUGUCUUUUCUCCUGUCAUCCAGAUGUUCAGAGGGAGAUGAUGCCACAUCUGAUCCAGCCGAUGGAAGGUCUUGAAGUUCUCUGUGGAUGGUCCUCUCACUGGAUUUAAGCUGGUAAACCAGCAGUUCUGGUGGUGAUGCAUCACACCUUCAAUCGUCACCAUGUUAUAGCUCCAAGCAGCAGACUGGUGCAGAAUCCAAACAUUCUCCUCACUGUGGACUGUCUGUUUCACGAGAACAAACUCCUCAGUUGUGACCUCAAUGAUCAGAUGUGGCAUGAAUUCUACAACUUUCUUGGAGUUUCUCAGUACUUUCUCUGCCGAAUCUUCUCAAGAUGCAUGAAAAAUAAGUAUAUGCGUAUUUUU